UAUUAAGUGCCUCUAGAUUUACUUUUUGGGACAAUUGUAAAUACUAACUAAAUAAGAGACACUAAUAUUUUAAAUUUCAGGAAUUAAAACUUUCAGGGGAAACAAUCGCGCCUUUCUUAUUUCUGGGGACUCUUCUCUUCCUCCUCAAUCCAAAUUCCCUAUUCUUCCAAUUACCCUAUCAUUCAAACAUCCACCAGUUUCUAAUUUCACGUUAGCCAAAAAAACUCAAACUCGGAAACCUGACUCACGUUAUUGCCGCCGCUGUGCCCGCCGCUGCGCUGUCGUAAUCUCGAAGCCGCUGCUGUACCGCCGACAUCCUCUUCUCCGUUUCCAGUUGCUGCUGUGCCUUCUACCCCAUAUCCUAGGCAUCGAUUUUGCUCCUUGUGUGGCGCUGCGAUCGGUGUUCUCGCCCCAAUCGAAAGCCCCAAUCGAAGAAGCCUAGGUUUUUGAGACAUUAUUGAAGUAGUCGGGAACCUUCUAAACAUAGAUCUUCGGGACAAGCCUGCACUUGAGACGCCUUUUGCUUCUCAAAACUGAUAUAUUGUUUCUCAUCCAUACCCACAGAAAGCUUCUAAAAUUGCUCCAGUUCUUUCACAAGAGUGACUAUCCUUCCAUGGCUCGGCUGCUGUUCCUGAUAACGAAUUUGGAAGGAGGCCUAAUCCUUCUGCAAUACGAAGAAAUGAAACUGCUGCAUCUACACCUGGCUGGACAGAGAAACCAUUGUAGAAUACCAAUUUUUCGCAUACAACUCAAAAAGAGAUGAGAAG